rnacentral:rRNA from 1 species
GACGAACGCUGGCGGCGUGCCUAAUACAUGCAAGUCGAACGAACUCUGGUAUUGAUUGGUGCUUGCAUCAUGAUUUACAUUUGAGUGAGUGGCGAACUGGUGAGUAACACGUGGGAAACCUGCCCAGAAGCGGGGGAUAACACCUGGAAACAGAUGCUAAUACCGCAUAACAACUUGGACCGCAUGGUCCGAGCUUGAAAGAUGGCUUCGGCUAUCACUUUUGGAUGGUCCCGCGGCGUAUUAGCUAGAUGGUGGGGUAAUGGCUCACCAUGGCAAUGAUACGUAGCCGACCUGAGAGGGUAAUCGGCCACAUUGGGACUGAGACACGGCCCAAACUCCUACGGGAGGCAGCAGUAGGGAAUCUUCCACAAUGGACGAAAGUCUGAUGGAGCAACGCCGCGUGAGUGAAGAAGGGUUUCGGCUCGUAAAACUCUGUUGUUAAAGAAGAACAUAUCUGAGAGUAACUGUUCAGGUAUUGACGGUAUUUAACCAGAAAGCCACGGCUAACUACGUGCCAGCAGCCGCGGUAAUACGUAGGUGGCAAGCGUUGUCCGGAUUUAUUGGGCGUAAAGCGAGCGCAGGCGGUUUUUUAAGUCUGAUGUGAAAGCCUUCGGCUCAACCGAAGAAGUGCAUCGGAAACUGGGAAACUUGAGUGCAGAAGAGGACAGUGGAACUCCAUGUGUAGCGGUGAAAUGCGUAGAUAUAUGGAAGAACACCAGUGGCGAAGGCGGCUGUCUGGUCUGUAACUGACGCUGAGGCUCGAAAGUAUGGGUAGCAAACAGGAUUAGAUACCCUGGUAGUCCAUACCGUAAACGAUGAAUGCUAAGUGUUGGAGGGUUUCCGCCCUUCAGUGCUGCAGCUAACGCAUUAAGCAUUCCGCCUGGGGAGUACGGCCGCAAGGCUGAAACUCAAAGGAAUUGACGGGGGCCCGCACAAGCGGUGGAGCAUGUGGUUUAAUUCGAAGCUACGCGAAGAACCUUACCAGGUCUUGACAUACUAUGCAAAUCUAAGAGAUUAGACGUUCCCUUCGGGGACAUGGAUACAGGUGGUGCAUGGUUGUCGUCAGCUCGUGUCGUGAGAUGUUGGGUUAAGUCCCGCAACGAGCGCAACCCUUAUUAUCAGUUGCCAGCAUUAAGUUGGGCACUCUGGUGAGACUGCCGGUGACAAACCGGAGGAAGGUGGGGAUGACGUCAAAUCAUCAUGCCCCUUAUGACCUGGGCUACACACGUGCUACAAUGGAUGGUUCAACGAGUUGCGAACUCGCGAGAGUAAGCUAAUCUCUUAAAGCCAUUCUCAGUUCGGAUUGUAGGCUGCAACUCGCCUACAUGAAGUCGGAAUCGCUAGUAAUCGCGGAUCAGCAUGCCGCGGUGAAUACGUUCCCGGGCCUUGUACACACCGCCCGUCACACCAUGAGAGUUUGUAACACCCAAAGUCGGUGGGGUAACCUUUUAGGAACCAGCCGCCUAAGGUGGGACAGAUGAUUAGGGUGAAG